GAUAAUAAUAGUAAUAAUAACAAUAAUAAUAAAGAUGCCUGGCCCAGGGUGUACAUUUUUGAAACAAAAACACAGACAGCAACCGUCUCAUUUUUCCCAUAAAAUACAUUAAUGGGGCGUCCUCGGACGUGCUAAAAUUAUAUGGGUAAAUUAUGGGUGAUUUUAAGUGGGUGAUGUACCUGUAAUGUGCUAAAAUAAGGCAGAAGACAGCAGCCAGAGUAACGCCAUGAUGGAGAGGAACCACAACAAACAUGGCCGACCACGGCAACUCGCGCUGUGAUUGGUCGAGCUGGAGACAGUAUUGGCUCCUGAUUGGUCAGUCAAUCCCCAGCGGGAAAUACAAAAUUCCGAAAUCAAUAUUUUUCUCGUUUUUUUUUUUUUAUAUAUAUAUAUGUAUAAUAGUUUCCAUUGAGGUAUUUUUGAGAAGCUGGAAGUUUGGACACUCUAAAACACCGCGUUCGACGGUACGACAAAGCAAUUCACCGCUAAUUAUAAAAUAUCUGGAAAUUUUUACGUCCUAUCCACAUUUUGACUCCACCAGACGACAGAAUUUUGAUAUAUUUUUUAGAAUAACUCAAUAAUAUCUAACAGUUUAGUGAUAAUAAAAUGCUUAAAUGUUUACGAGAUUGUUGAUCUAUGUUGUAUUGUAUUUAUCAGGUAUAUGGAGGUAUUGUAAAACUUGUAAAUUGACUCUAAAAUAUAUUUUUUGUUGAUGUGUGUCGGGGUAGGCCUAGUCAAGGCCUAUUGUGACAUUUGUAAUUGAUGUAUUACCUGCCCAGGAGGCACAACUGACUUUAUUAUUAUAAUUAUUUUGUAUAUUAGUGUUAUUAUUAUUGCUAGGUGAACAGGGACAGCAGGUGUAAGGUGACUAACACCCAGGUACCUACUUACUGUUAGGUGAACAAGGACAGCAGUAUAAGGUGACUAACACUCAGGUACCUACUUACUGUUAGGUGAACAGGGACAGCAGUAUAAGGUGACUAACACCCAGGUACCUACUUACUGCUAGGUGAACAGGAACAGCAGUUUAAGGUGACUAACAUCCAGGUACCUACUUACUGCUAGGUGAACAAGAACAGCAGUUUAAGGUGACUAACAUCCAGGUACCUACUUACUGCUAGGUGAACAGGAACAGCAGUUUAAGGUGACUAACACCCAGGUACCUACUUACUGCUAGGUUAACAGGGACAGCAGGUGUAAGGUGACUAACACCCAAAUACCUAUUUACUGUAUUUUCAUUAAGCACUAAAGUCGCAAGGGUCAUACUUACGAGAAAUCAGACCUGAUCCAAAAGUAGUGCAGAUAGCUCCACUUCCUCGUAUCAAGAGCCCAUUAACAUAAACAUCCUCCGUUGUGAAAAUAGUCCAUUUAGAGUAAUAAUACAAAUAUAAAUCUUAAUUAAAAAAAUCAAGUAUUUUUUCACCACGUAUUAACUACAGAAAAAUAUUGUAUAAUUAUUUAUACAUAGGAUUAUGAAUGAACCAGAGAUCUUGUCACAGGAUGACUUCAGGUGGCCCGGUGGCCUGGUGGCUAAAGCUCCCGCUUCACACACGGAGGGCCCGGGUUCGAUUCCCGGCGGGUGGAAACAUUCGACACGUUUCCUUACACCUGUUGUCCUGUUCACCUAGCAGCAAAUAGGUACCUGGGUGUUAGUCGACUGGUGUGGGUCGCAUCCUGGGGGACAAGAUUAAGGACCCCAAUGGAAAUAAGUUAGACAGUCCUCGAUGACGCACUGACUUUCUUGGGUUAUCCUGGGUGGCUAACCCUCCGGGGUUAAAAAUCCGAACGAAAUCUUAUCUUAUCUCAUCUUAUCCUGCAUCUGUAUCCUGGGCCUGUGUCCUGCACCUCUGUCCUGUACCUCUGUGUCUUGCACGUGCGUCCUGCACCUCUGUGUGUUGCACCUCAUCCUUAGGUUCAGAAACUCUUCUGUCUUCAGUAGGAUGCCUAAAUCCCCCAGUGUUAGUGCUCAAUACUAUGAGGCAACAUUUCGCCUAAGCAAAGUUGCGCCCAAAACGUCGACUUAAGACUGACUCUCUGGGUUCUUGUGGAUGUUGAUGAAGGUUCUAGUGGGAUGUUGAUGAAGGUUCUAGUGGGAUGUUGAUGAAGGUUCUAGUGGGAUGUUGAUGAAGGUUCUAGUGGGAUGUUGAUGAAGGUUCUUGUGGGAUGUUGAUGAAGGUUCUAGUGGGAUGUUGAUGAAGGUUCUAGUGGGAUGUUGAUGAAGGUUCUAGUGGGAUGUUGAUGAAGGUUCUAGUGGGAUGUUGAUGAAGGUUCUAGUGGGAUGUUGAUGAAGGUUCUUGUGGGAUGUUGAGAUUUCGUUCGGAUUUUUAACCCCAGAGUGUUAGCCACCCAGGAUAACCCAGGGUAGGGAGCGUUCGCCACCCAAGAUAACCCGGGUAGGGAGUGUUAGCCACCCAGGAUAACCCGGGGUAGGGAGUGUUAGCCACCCAGGAUAACCCGGGGUAGUGUAGACAGCCUGUACUGUCUGCACAGACAGCCCAUGCUGUCUGCCUGCUUAGUUCAUAUUUCGCGCUAUGCUGGUGCUGCCACCUAGGCCUUCCCACUUCAGUAUGCCCAGACUUGCCUCGCUCUCACUCUCACAGCGGCCUGGCAUCAACACACAAGUACUCCCAGCUCUCUCUCGCAGGCAUGACCCUGCCCGGGCCAUGGGCACAAACACACAAGCCUGUGUAACCCAACACUAGUUAUCAAUAAAGUAAGAAGCCUCCGAAGAAGUAUAUCAUUUAACUACCCGCUACCAGCUACCAAACAAGCCCGUUAUAAAUGGUGACAGCGGUGCUCGCAGCAGUUGUGUUUGCCUGGAGAGAGGGAGGAAGAGGUAUGAA